GGGCUGGCAAAGUCUCCUGAGGUGGGAGGGCAGUUAGCAUUUUACAGUUGUUAUCACUCUGGUGCAAUGACAUCCUUGCCCACCCAAGCUGCUGAGCUGAAGAGGCCAGGCUGAUGGAAACACAGCAUCUCAGAUGGGCAGGCAGGCAGGAAUAGCAUGAGCCUGAGUUACUGUGCUCAGGUAUUUUAUCACAGCAAUUGGAAUGGAACUAGAACAGGCAACAUCUCUGGAGCAAUACCUCCUCACCCAGAUCAAUAAGGACUUCUCCCAGAGUGCCUGGUACACAGCUCCAAAAGGGGAGAUGGGCCUGAUGAACUCCACCCCUGGCUUUGUACUAGCUCAUGCUAUCCGUUCCUUUUCCUGCCUGUAAUCUAGCCUUCCCACCUAACAGCAGCUCUGGGUUAUUCUUUGGAGGACUACCUUCUCUAUUACUUUCCUAGACCCCUGUUGUUUGGAUAGAAUUGACCGUACUACCUCCAGUUCAGAAGGCAGAUCAUAAAAUCAAAGCUUGACUUAAAAUCGCCUUUCAUUUUUCUGCCACCAGAGGCUUACGGAUGAACAUGUAGCCCAAACUAGGUUUUGAAGGUUUGGGAAUUACACUGCACUGACUGGAAAAAAAAAAAAAAACUCCUCUCG
rnacentral:lncRNA from 1 species